rnacentral:rRNA from 1 species
AUUGAACGCUGGCGGCAGGCCUAACACAUGCAAGUCGAACGGUAGCACAGAGAGCUUGCUCUCGGGUGACGAGUGGCGGACGGGUGAGUAAUGUCUGGGAAACUGCCCGAUGGAGGGGGAUAACUACUGGAAACGGUAGCUAAUACCGCAUAACGUCGCAAGACCAAAGUGGGGGACCUUCGGGCCUCACACCAUCGGAUGUGCCCAGAUGGGAUUAGCUAGUAGGUGGGAUAAUGGCUCACCUAGGCGACGAUCCCUAGCUGGUCUGAGAGGAUGACCAGCCACACUGGAACUGAGACACGGUCCAGACUCCUAUGGGAGGCAGCAGUGGGGAAUAUUGCACAAUGGGCGCAAGCCCGAUGCAGCCAUGCCGCGUGUAUGAAGAAGGCCUUCGGGUUGUAAAGUACUUUCAGCGGGGAGGAAGGCGGUGAAGUUAAUAGCUUCACCGAUUGACGUUACCCGCAGAAGAAGCACCGGCUAACUCCGUGCCAGCAGCCGCGGUAA